ensembl:miRNA
GCCAACUGCAGAUCAUGGGACUGUCUCAGCCCCAUAUGUAUAUGAAGGCUGAGAAGUCCCAUGAGCUGUACUUGGC